rnacentral:rRNA from 1 species
AGGUGACGAAGCGACGCCGCGUGGGUGAGGAAGGCCCUCGGGUUGUAAAGCCCUGUCAGGAGUUUAGAAAUGUAGGUACGCUAAUGUCGUAUCUAUUUGACAAAGGCUCCAAAGGAAGCCACGGCUAACUUUGUGCCAGCAGCCGCGGUAAUACAGAGGUGGCAAGCGUUGUUCGGAAUUAUUGGGCGUAAAGAGCACGUAGGUGGAUUUGUAAGUCAGAUGUGAAAGCCUUCUGUUCAACGGGAGAAUUGCAUCUGAAACUACAAACCUUGAGUAUAGGAGGGGAGAAUGGAACUUCUGGUGGAGCGGUGAAAUGCGUAGAUAUCAGAAGGGGCGCCGGCGGCGAAAGCGAUUCUCUGGCCUAUUACUGACACUCAGUGUGCGAAAGCUAGGGGAGCAAACGGGAUUAGAUACCCCGGUAGUCCUAGCCGUAAACGACGGGCACUAAGUAGAGG